rnacentral:rRNA from 1 species
UAGUGAGCUAUUACGCUUUCU